ACCAGUGAUGAGUGUCAUCCCUCCCGAGGAGACGAUGAGGACAUUAUCCCCACCUGAGG
rnacentral:snoRNA from 1 species